AGCAAGCACGUAACGUAAUGCAGCUACGCUUGCAGUUCCUUCUGGCCGUGGUUAAAACGAAAUUUCCCGGAUAAAGCUAUCUUAGGCGUGUAUGUUGCUAGCUAGCUUGCCGUGAUUGACAUUACCGGAAACUUUCUGCAGAUCCACCACGGGAUCGAGAUCGUGCUAGCUCGAUAAAGCGUUGCGGCUUUUCAUCGACCUGCGCGCAGCACGCAAUGCGACGCACAGCGCGCAUGUAGUGUCUGGGAUGGGGAAAAAUACAUGGCCGAUCUCGAUUGGGCGAACCUUUUUCCAUCGCUGUGCAGCGAGAUCGCGAUCUUUUUCUGCUGGCGCUGACCCCCCCCCCCCCCCCCCCCCUUGUUGAUACGUCCACGGUCCGUCUCGUCGGAGUUUGGCACGAGUGACGCACGCACGCCCGCACGCCACAGGCCGGCCGGCGCUGUUUAUUCGCGAGGCCCCCCCGCGCCGGCUCAUUUCUUUUCUUUCUUUGGCGGCCAUGCCAACUGUCUUUUUUUGUUUUGUUUUUAGGAGUUUGGCUGGUGCAUGGGCUAUAGUAACUCCAGCUGCUGUCUGUGAUGGGCAGAGAGUAGCUUCUGUACUUUAGGUUUGAAUGUUUGAUCUCCUCCUUCCACAUCGGUUAAGGCGGUGUGAGCGCGCGGUAGCUGGUCGAUGCUCUGUUUCCGUCCUGUAAUAACUUCUGCUUAUCGUGCUUCCUUGUCCGUUCUAUCUGAAGACACUGCUACUGCUGCUACGGCGUCGGUGGGCCGGAAACCUCCAAACGACCAAGCCGGUCCGGGAAUCGACGGGAUUGAUUGCUUGAUUGAUUGAUGCCUACGUUAAUUCGUGCGUGGUCCACGAUCGACGACGCGGCCGAUGACGAACGACGGACUCGAAUCGCUCGGCUUCCCGGCGAUAACCCCCCACGGGCGACGGCGACGGGCCGUCUGUACUCUACGCCAAGAUACUCUCCGGAGCGCCGGGCCGAGGGGAAUUGGAAAGGCUAGCUAGAACUGGCGCGUCGUCGGUUGUCAGCGACCGUCGAGCUAGCCUCGUGUUUUGGGUUCGUUUUUCCCUUUGUCGUCCAUGUCCUACGUCGCCUCCAGAUCAAUCAAAAAAGGGUAUCAGAACGGGUAUCAAGCGGCGUCGGUCACGCACGCACGUAGUAGUACUACCGGUGAUGCCUAACAACCGACGGCGACGGCCCUCCUGCACUGGCCGCGACGGGUUCCGCAUCGGCCGUUUCAAUCGGCAUCUGCAGGCUUAGGGAUUCUAGAACAAACGCUAUUGAUAUUUUUUUUCCGCCUACGAAACACUAGUUACGACGCAAAACCUACAAUUACCCCCACGUACGAAUGCCCUCGCACACACGGUCCCCAGAGUACUCUGGACCUUGAGAUUUACAAAAUCACCACUUGUGCCUAGUGAUCGAUGGUAUAAGACACACAGAGCCGAGGGUUCGGUCCACCAACUAUCUAACCAGUGGUGGAUACAGGAUACACUCAAGAGCAGGGCCAAUUUAUCUAUAUAUAGAAGUUAAAAACAAAGAAAUUAGAGAAGAAACCCGGAACUAAGUUUGAAUUCCUUCAUAAUUUAGUCAAAAAUAAAAUCUCACGCUCUAGGCUGUGCGGCUUGGCUCCACCCCUGUUUCUAACCACCCAGCCACCGCUAAACCGUAAAACUAAAAUAAAAUAAAAUAAAAAUAAUCGUGCACAUAAACUCGAAUUAUUACGUGUCAACGUAUAAUCCAUAUUAAAAGCAACAAAUGAUGUGACGAACUACAUAAACAUAAACAAUUCAAACAUUACAUUAUUUGCAAAUAAUAAACCAAUAGCGAUCAAUUCAUUUUCGAUAAUCAUCUUCGCAUUAAGCAGCAUGAGUCAUGUUGAUACAUAAACAAUGCUGUGUUUGGUAGCACUGUAUUUUCUCUGUAUUUUAGCGAACUACGGUUUUUAUAAUUACCAGAGUUUUAAUUACUAUGAACUGUUUGGUUACUCCUAAAAACUGCGGUAUUAAUACCAUAGUAUCUGCAAAACCGUAGUAUUUUCUCUGAAUAAAAUAAAGAACCCCAGACCUCUUUAUUUUUUACCGAGCACGCGAGAAAAACGUCUCCGCCUAGCUAGCAGCGAACAUCGCUGCUGUUCUCAAGCCGCCGCCGCCUAUCGUCUCAAUCCCAGCGAUCUAUGAGCAGGGGGGCGGCGGGGCCGGGGAUGCAUGGUCGGAGGAAUUGGCGAUUGCUUUCCGUGGCUGGCCAGGUUGGAGACGUCGAACAACGAGCCGCGCCGAGGGACGGGCGCAACGCUGGUGGGGCGGGUUGGAGGCGGCCGGCGUGACGCGGGGCAGGGCGGGCGGGAGGCGGCGGACGCGAGCGGCGCACGAUGCGGGGCUGAUUGGAGGCGGCGAACGCGGAGCCAUGGUGAGGAGCUACUCCGUGGCGAGCACAUCCCUAGUUUGUGCCGCUGGCAACCAUUAGCAAGUUAAUUAGCGCAUCAUGCUCGUGGUGGAUCUGAUGGCCUCGUUCUUCCGUCUGCUCCUCCCCUUCAUGCUCGUGGAGCCGAUGGCAUCCUGAUCCGAACAGAGAGUGAACGGCCUUCUUUUCCAUGUGCCCAAGAUGCCCAUCCCCUGCUGUUACUCAAGCGCACGGGCGGAGGAAGAUUGGAAGAAGAAGAAGAAUAGGAGAAGCUGGGAUAAUAAGAAUACUGUAGUUUAAUACUUUGUUACCAAAUAGCUUGAAAGUAUUUUCCAUACUCCAAAAUAAUCAAGUUUGCCAAAACUGCAGUAUUUUGUAUGUAGAGUAAAAUAUACUGUAGUUUGUCAGUGCUUUAGUUUUUUAAAUACCUUGUUACCAAACAUAGCCUAACUUCUAUUAUGAUAUGCAAUAUUUUUUUCUCAUUUCUGGGCUGGCUUCAUGAAAAUUAAGAAUACAUUUUUAUAUUAUUUUUUUGUAAACACAGUAGAUAAUGAGAGAAAAACAUAAGAGGAUCAUAAUGCAUUUCUGUACAUGUUUACUAGGACUUGUAAUUUGACAUACACGAAAUACAUUUAUGGUGGCUUAAUUUUUUAGUUGAGUUCAUCAUGUUAUAGGUGUAUUGUAAACUGAAUACGUAGGUUACUUAACAUUCUUCAUUUUGGUUAGAGGUCCGUACAACUUUAUAUUGUUUCGCAUAGAGACAGCAGCGAGUUAUGUUAUUUGUGCGCUAAAAACAAUUACACUCUAUCUUGAGUUUUCAACUUCAAAACUACAUGUUUGAGUCUUCUCCUACUUGGGCAAAUUUCGCAUAACAAUUGCACCUAUUUGAUUCCUUCCGCAGAUAAUCCAAGUUACAAAUUGAAUGAUACACAUAAUUCUUACUAGUUAUGUUAAUUAUUAUUUUUCAGUUGAAGACUAUCAAACAUGGAAAUGAAAACUUUGCAUUAGUUGCACCAAAUCUAUUCUUAAUCAGUCUAAAAAGAAUCUCGUUGAACAGAAAAAAGACUCAUAAAGAAAUUACGAGGAGAAAGAAGAAAUCUGGAUUCACUUUCAUUCACACCCUUUACGACGCAUUGUGAUUAUGUUCAUCUCCAACUGAUUUAAGUUCGUGCCAAUCUCCAAUUCUAAAGACAUUAUCCAGUGUCCAAAUCGCUUGAAGGGAUGACACGGGCAAAGACGAGGGACGGUAGUUGGCAUAUUUCUACGUGACUUUUUAUGAAGUCUGACUAUUCGAAUAUUGAUGCAAUUUUCUCCACUUAAUAAAUUCAUGUCUCCUUUUGUUUCGCCAAUCCCCAGGUAAAAAAAUCGUACGUUGAUGUACUUAAAUGGAGUAUACUUUGGUUAUGCAACAUUUUUCAUAAAUUUUAAAGAAAAAAAUACAUUUUGCACCAAGGCCUUGAAUUCAUACAUACGACCCUGGUUCUAAGAAAAGCUGUGUGGUUCAGUGCAUUCAAAUAAUGGUCAUCGUUCUUCGAAUAAAGGACAUGCUUGUUAUUGUAGAUUCUUGUCCAAUAGGUAUACUUAUGAUUAAAUAAUUUUAUUUUGUUCUAAUUACUAAACAUGUUGUGUUGCAUUCUCAAGAAUUUUGUAAAUUGAAAUUAUCUUCAAAAAUAAUUUUUCCAUGUAUUAUUUGUUACAUGAAGGGGGAAAGAACCAUAAGGGUGUGUUUUCUCUGUACUGAAAGGGUAUGUUGCUUUUGAUGUCAUCAAUGUAUAUACUUACUUGCAAUAUAUGGCUGGGUGAAUUCUUGGUUUUCCAAUUAAUAUUAGGAGAUUAAUUGCAACAGCUGCUCUAGACUAUCUGAAAAUGAAGAAAUAUUGCUUGUUUUUAAAAUGUUUUACAGAGUAGCUAAAGACCCAUUUAAUAUGAUUUCCUCUACGAUGUUACUGGAUUAAAUAUUAGAUUGUUCUUUAUCUUUAGCAAUUCAAGGUCGCAAUCAAGAUGGAUGCUCAGUUUCAGCGGAUGGUGGCGGACGAGAUGAUACACAAACAUCUUGGUUCUAAGUUUUCUUGUAGGGCUGACAUUUCUUUGAUUUUUGUUUCUAUUUUGAGCUAAUAAGAAGUGAACCUCGAUGACUGUAUAAUGCUCAUUUCGACAAAAAAUUCUUUCGCCAAUCAUACAAGGUAAAAGAAAUGUCAAAAUAACAAAUUGAUGAUCGUAGAACAUGUGAUGAAUUGUUUUCUCACAUGCACAAUUUUUUUAUGCAGUUUACUAACGGUCCAAUUCAUUUUCUCCGAGCUAUUCAUAGUUGAAGUUACCCCUCCGCAUAGAUUCCACAAACACAAAGACUUCCAUUCCCGUGGGGAUUAUCAAGCGUUUAAGGUUUAUCUGGAGUUUUCUCAAUGCAUAAGUAGCAUAAACUGGAACAAAGAUUGUUUUAUUUUUUGAAGGUUUCAUCCAAACAUACAUACACCUAUGCAUCAUAGUAAGGUUGAAGUAAGUAACCUUAGUAACUUAAUGAAUUACAGGAUACUACUAUAAACAUGGAUCUUUUGAUUCAUCUUCUUCUGAGUAACAAACAUUGAUAUUUUGAUUAAUCUUCUACACCCAUAUGAUGCUACAUGGCACGGUAAGAAGAGAGCUUCAACUUGUUUCGUUCUUCUUUUAUAAGAUUACCAUUACCGUGAAGGAGUAAUUUUUUUUGUAGAGAGUAACCCCCUUAUAGUUGAUUUUUUCAUCUUCUAAAAACUCCGUAGAUACGACUUAGGCUCCAAUUGACAUUGUGUUGGAUUAUCAUAAUCCUGUUUUUUCACUUGCUUUUCACUAUUUUUUGUGUUUGGCUAACCAAUUUUAUUCUACUUUCGUGUGUAUUUUUUUCACAGCAGAUUUUAAAAUAAGCUCAGCGCAGCACAGUUCAGCAAUGUAAAACUGAUCCUAAGAAGAAAAUCUAUUGCAUCUGAUGUUUUCAAGUUGAUUCCAGCAGACGUGCAAAGUACAAGAAUCAGCUGCUGACUGUAGCUUUGUGCAUGUACGUACAAUUUAGCAGUUACUAGUACCUUCGUUCUGUUUAAUACGGCGGCAAGUAGUGCCGAAUUUCUCUUGGUAACUUCGAUUUCCAUGAAGGCAACUUAGGCAAGCUUCAUUUGUGCUUGUGUUGUGGUCUUGUUGCCGAUGAGGAGUUAAUUGGAGGAGCCUUCCGCCGGGAGCCAGGUACAGUGACCGCAUUAUCUCCUUUCGCUGCACCCUCAGAGUGUUUACUGUAUCUGUCAUGCUUUCUGACACCUGCAGAGAACACACUGCCGCCAUGGACACAGUAUGCCAUGUCAUCUUCGAACCAACCGUUAACAAAUAACUUGCAUCUUUCAAAAAAAAAACUUGCCGAGACAGCAAGGCGUCGCUGUGCUGAUCUAGUAAAGAUAUAGUCCUCCUUUUCAUACAAAUUGGCACGGUUUUGAACUAGCUCAAAUUUAAAGCCGCGCCAAUCUUUAUGGAAUGGAGGGAAUACCACGGAGUAGCAAAAUUUCAUGCGAUGUUUAUGCUCCAUGUAAUGCAAAGCAAAAUAUUUAACUUGUUUCUCUGCAACUUUGUUAAGUAUCAUUAGAUUACCACUAUACUAUUAGUAACUACAUACGAUUGUUGAGCAUUUAUGUGAUGUUGCUUGCCAGUUCAUUGAGCGGCUACGUUUUUGCCCCCUGUGCUCCAAUCCAGGCAGCAUGUCCGGACACACAGCAGUGCGGGGCAUUGAUUGACUGAACGGGUGCCAAUAACGUGGUCCUGAAACCCUGCAGUUAGAUUCUGCAUCCUCCUCGAGCACAAUCAAUGCACUUUCAGUAUACCCAAGACGAAUCCGAUUAGUAAAUUUUUCUGUCCGUCCCGUCGGCAUGAUUGUGGCAUGUUGACAAGUUCAGACGAGGCACGCUCUGAAGCACUGAAAAAACUCAAAAGGGUCACCACUUUGCAAGCAGCCUGAGCAUGGACAAUAACUACCCCAGCAUUUCAAAAAACGUUGCUAGUGAUUCCAUGGCAACUGAUUCAAUUUUUUUACUGAGUAUUUUUCUUAUCCCUCAAAAUGAACUGUUCUUCAUUUCCUCUUUUUUCAACUUCCAUGGUGACCGAUUCAACUGUUCUUCUUUUUUCAGUGUUGAUAAUGAACUUGUUUGAAUCUGUUUUAAGAGAAUUGCGCCCUCAAUUGUUGGGUGUUUGCCUAAGUUAUUGGCACUACUAGCAUAUUUUCCAUAGAUCAGUAGGGGUCUAGUCCUUUGUUUUCUGGGACAACAAUGUUCUUUGACCUGGAUUAUGUGUCUUGUCUGUUCUCCGGGACAACAUUGUUCUUUUUCAAGGAGGUCAAACAAGGCUAACCAUGUCAGUUUACGGCAGAAUCUAUCGUGUGCAUUUAAGGCCAAACCACCGGUUUACUACUUGUUAAAAAUGUCAUCUGCAGGCAGAACCGCACACUAGUGCUAAAGCUGAGUAUCUGCUGCAGUGUUCUUGGUCUUGGCAAUUGCACAGGUGUGAUGAAAGAACUUUUGACCAUUCUUUAAGCUAGUCAGACUGAAGACUGAAUUUUUUCUACUUUGCCAUGCUUACCGUGAGCUCUUCACGUAGGAUCACAUGCUGUAGCAGUUUUUCCAGAACCUGAUUUGUAGGCUAUUUGUUCAAUUAAGUGUUCCAGUGGGAAACAACAAUAUCGCAUCCUAACUAGUCUUCUGGGAGUCUAAACCCUAAAACAUUUAAGAUAAUUUAGUAUUCUCAAACAAUUGAGCUUCAUGUAUACUCCUCAGCAUAUAACACACAGAUUUGCGCCUUGUUUAAGUCCACAUUAUAGUGCUAACAGCUAUGGUAAGGCUUGGUAAUUUACUAAUUUUCUCGACAACCUGAAAACAAAUCCACACAAACUUCUUUUUUUCAGUCAAAGAACUAUCUUACAAAGACACUGCCAAUGACAAUGACGAUCGACUGCCCUGAGAUAGGGCAAUGCAACUACAAGAUGAUGAACAUGAGACCAGCAACACACAUACAACUCAAGAAUGCAGCACCGUGACACUGAAGGAUGGAGCAAGCGAAGACACCUAAAAAACACCCUAGAGAGAGCUAGAAAAUUGGCUUCGUCUCUGCAUGGAGUUCCAUGAACACCUGGCUGAUCACGCCUUGGCAACCUUCAUAUCGACGCUCAAGGCCUUCCUAUCCUCCAACGGUUUUGACACCGUUGUUCUCUGGACACCGCAAGGCUUUUGCUUUGCUUUGAUGGACUCCGUCAAGCUCAUGUAAUUCGGCCUUGCCCUGACGCUGCCAUCAGUCUUCUCUGGUGUCACCAAGGUGGAGAACGAUAUUGGAGUGGACGCAAAGCAAGAAGAUGACGACGCUGAGCUCUCGUCGUUGUGCAAUUCAGUGCUCAGAGACGAGAUAGACUGAGCUUUGAACCGAGGAUGGUGCGUCGCUCCCGGCGGUUUCGCGCUGACCCUUUUGCUGACAUUGUUCUUCCUCACCUUCACUGAAUUUGGUUCAGAGAAGUCCCCUAGGGCACCGAAGGUAUCCUUGCAGAUCUUGGACGGCACAAGGUCCGGCGAGCUGGCAGUAGUCAGGUUGUGCUCCUCCAUCAACCUGUUCUCCCAGGGCCUGGCCGCCAUCCACCUCUCCAGCCAGCUCCAGCUGCCGUUGUUCUUGUCACAAUGCUGAUGCUUGAGCAGGAGACCCGACUGGUUCGACCGGCCAUUGUUCUUCUUCGGUUGCUGCAGAACAGAAACAAUGUCAACUCAAUUCGGACUAGCACUACUGCUGUAGAGUUGUGCAAAGAUGCUCUUGAUUCAGUACAUUGCAUUUCGGAACGCCUUCGAGCUGCUGCGAAUAAACGUAGGCGAUAGCUCGCUCCCGCUUGAUUGCUCCUUCCUGCCGCUUCUGCAGCUUCACCCUCACCGCCUCCAGCGUUCCCUGGCUGUCACACCAUCCUUCCUGAAAGUUCAAAUUCCGUCCGACGAAUGAAUACAAACAAAGAGGAAAUCACAAAUCGUAUUGAAGAACAGACAAACGCAUAGCGGACAGGUAGUAACCUCGGCUUCCCGGAGGAUGUCGAGCUUGGUGCGGCGGGCGUCGAUGAGCUUCUGCACGGCCUGGCCCUCGGUGGACAUGCGCACGCGGCGCGCCCGGAUGCGCGCCUGCACGCGCACCAGCGCCUGCAUGCACCGGAGCGUCACCGCCGCCUGCUUCCUCACCUGCCGCCCGCGCACGAUCGCCUGCAGCCGCACCAGCCCCUUGAGCGCCCGCAGCGCCCUCCUCGCCUGCAUAAACAUAAACACAAACACAAACACAUAGCGUUCGUUCAAAUGCUUUAAUCCGAGAAGAGAACGCCGCGGCGUGAAGAGUAGUGUGGCAGAGUGCGCACCAGGAAGCCGCGGAAGGCUGUCUGGAUGCGGAUGGUGGCCCACUCUUGCCGGACGGCCAUGAAGUCCUUGGCCGGCGCGCGGGCGACGGUGGCGAGGGCGGCGGUGAACAUCUCGGCCGCGGCGGUGGCCACCGAGGAGGCGUCGUCGGAGGCCUCGGACGCCGGGGACCGGUGGCUGCCGCCUCUGGAGCCGCGCCACAGGGAGCCGUGGUCGCCGGAGGAGCUCCUCCACAGCUUCCACUUCCGGCCCUUGUUGGCGCCGCCUCCAUUCACAGAGGGAACUUGCAGCUUGUUCUGCAGAAGCAGAAAAGAAACAAAAAAAAAAGAGUAACUUCUCGAGAUAUAAUGACUGGUACUAUAUAACUCGGCUAUGAUUGCUGAAGAAGACACAAACUUAGAGAUGAAGAGCAAAAGGAAAUUUAUUUUGAGCUAAACAAAGUACUACUAGUAGUACAUAACCCUACUUCAGAAACAGCAAAGUACACUCAAGGACUGUUGCCGGAUCUUCAGACAAGUGCACGAGAAUGAAAGAGACAUUUCCGUGGCCAUUAGAGAUGGCAAUUUCAACUGCAGACUUUUGCCAUUCCAGGAGGAAAAAAGGAACAAUCUUGGUGUUCCCCUCUGCGUCCUUUUUGGGGAAAAAAUGACCUCAAAAACUAGAUGCUGCUAAACCAAUAGCGAGAAAUCAAUAUCAAAACUCGUCUACUCAGUGAAGCCGAAUGUAAUCGAGCUCAGAGAAAACCAAAUCUUUGCCAAAGGCAACAGAAUCUCCGGAAAGAACUGAAUGAACAAACCACUUGCGAGUCGCCCUCACCUUGCAAUCCAGCUCCCGGUCCGGCUUCUUGAGCCCUACGAGCGACUUGACCCACUUCCCGGACCCUCCCAUCUCUUCCUCCCCUCCGCCAAGAACAGCAGCACCAAGCAGCAACCGCAGAGAAACGCACGCAAGAGAAAAUAAACGAGUGCGCCAAGAAGAAGAAGAAGAACACGAGCAAGAGCGAGAGACAGGUGGUCGGUCGGUCUGCGUGUUGCGCGUGCGAGGCCGAGGCGGGGGGCGGCUUUGCAGUGGCCAGUGGGAGGGAGAGCGUUGGGGGAACGGACGCGGUUUGAAAUUCGAAAUGGAGGGAAGCAGCAGAGCCAACGUAUACUAGUCUCCACUUCCAGUAGCCGAGCACGCAGUGGACGCACGCAAAAAGCCAGAGAGAAGCUCGGCAGGGAGCGGGAACGCCAGCUAGUGGAGUGCUCCAGCUAGUUAACUCGACUCCACGACCAGCGUACUUAAUGACUCAAUCAAUGGACAAAAGGAGCAACUGCAAAUAAACAAAAAAAAAAGGUAUGCUUUCGAGAAGGCGGCAGCAUUAGCAAUAUGGUUGGGAGCCUAAAACUAAAAGAAACUGAUAAAGCAAUAUGGGAAGGGAUCCUAUGUGAAUUGUCCGAGUAAUUUUCACUCCUCUUUUCCCGUCCGUCGCUUCAUUUCACGUCGCAUUGGAUUCUCCUUCGUUGCUGCCAUGACAUCUGUGACUGUGGCACAUCCAUAGGAGCCCGCCGGCCUCUGUCCCUCUGUGCCCGUGUUCCUGUUGUUUUCCCCCUUUGGUGCAAAAAAUUUCUCGCGUUUCGCUGCCUGCGUGGGGAACAGCGCCGGGAGAAGAGAGUGGGGGCGCGCAGCUUUGUCUCCUUUUAUUUCUGGAUCCUUGCGAAAGCCACGGCCGCGUCUGAGAGACUGGGGAGUGAGUGCAUGAAAGGAAGAAAAGCUGGAACCGGCGGUUUUCUGGUCAGUGGACUGCGAUUGCGAUGACCACCCCGGCCGGCAACUUUUUCCUGGGGUUUUGCAUCUCGUUGUGAAGGGUUUUUGUGCAGAGCCCCCACGUUUUUGGCGGUUGCGUGGUCUCUGGGUUUGCAGGGUUUUGGGGUUGGACUGGAGGACUCGAUGAAUGGGUCAUGGCUGGCUAUUGGCCUCUUUCUCCUCUCAGUUUUGUUCUUGCGUGUCUUGUGACCGUGUACUCUGUGUAUAGAUAUGCUGGCGCCCCUGAUGUACUCUACCAUGCAUGUCGCGUGUCCUCUCUGGAUCUUGUUCCGUGGAUGACACUUGUUUUGUCCUGUUAUGUUUUUUGAAAAGGAAGGUGUGCUAUUGUACUCCUGACUUUUGCACUAAAAUAAAUGCAAAUGGGCAAUCAUGGUUCAUUAUUACAAAAUUUACAUUUCUUUUUGUUAGAGGGGAAGAAAAUAUAGCAGCUCAUCUGGUCAAUUUGGGGUCCAUUCAUGUAAAUUUUGGAUUAAUAUGUUAAACUUUGGCCCUCCCUGUAUGUUCUGUAGUAUUUUGAGUAUCAACCUCCCAAUCAGAUAGUGGAAUUAAAAAUCUACUCUUUUUUUAUGUAAAUCAAUGGUUGAAAUAGUCGAUUUAGGAACACCAAUGAAUGGGCACAGAUGUCAGCACAUUAGCUGUGGCUCUAUUCUACAAUUCAGUUCCAACUUUUCAUAUAUCCGAAGUCUUAUGGAGUAACUUGCAUUCAUUAUGGAGUAACCAUUCUAUGAUAGCACUAAUGAUGUGUCUACUCAACAACCUUGAAUGCUUGAUUUUGGAAAGCUAAAAAAUGCAGGAUUUUAUUGGAAUUGAAACGUCUACUGUAAGGGGUCAUAUCCGGUGAAAAUCAUCUUAACAUGGAAAACUCCGUAGAAAACCAUUAGAAAAUAAAAAUUAUAAAAAGAAUUGCAGACAGAAAAAAUAAAUCAGCAUGAAUAGAAGUUCUUUAUUGUUUGACACUAUUCACUAGUAUGUCCAUAGAACAUCACAUCUCCAACAUACGGUAUUUUUCUAGGUUUUUAUUUAAAACUUCUAAACAUGGUUUCUAUGAUUUGCACAAUUUGCACCGUAAGGAUGGUUUUCACAUGAUAUUUUCCAUUAUUGUAAACUCUCAGAAUGUAAGGAUUAAAAGAACAUAGUUCAUGUGGCCUCUAUAUCAAUUGACACGUCUUCCUAAUUUUAAUGAGUUUGCUACUAGUGUGUCAUCUUUUUUUCCUCUUUUCAAAAAGGAUGACACCCUCGAUUUGUAUACCAAUGCACAUAGCCAUCUUAAGGUGCCAUCUACAUCGUUGAACACUCUGCGGUUCGCGCAUGCUAUCUCUGCGAGAACAUUGGACUCAGGAACUAUCCUUUUGAUCAGCACACCAUAUCCAUAUUCCAUAGUGACAAACUGACACAAAUGUUCAAACAUAGCUGCAAUCUUACGAUAUCACAAAUUUUUAACACUUAAAAAAGUAGCCAUCAUCACAUGAACCAGAUGCCGGCUCCUGCAAACCAUAUGUUGUUCUACUGACUCUCUAACCAACGGGGAAUAUUCCAAAAGGACACACACAAUCAGAUAAGACUUUGAGAUCCUAUCCUACUCUAGCUAUAUUCUUCACCAAGACCUGGCUUAGUGCAGGGCUAAAAGCAUGUACUUCCAACAAAAUGCACGAAAAAGUCCUCAUUAUAUAGUCACUUGAUCUCCCUGGCUGGUAGCCUGAUGUCCUCCCAUUUGCUGCACCCUUUUGGCAUCAUCCCGGCAUAAUGAGCUCAUCCUCAUGAAGCUUAGCUUAUCCUUGUUUGACAAAUCUAACCUUCAUUUGAACUAAACUACCAGAUCCAGAAAUGACACCUUUGACAAGCACUCAUUAAUGUAAUACCUAGAUGCCUAUGGCAUGUUUGCUCCCAACUUGCAUGUGCACACCAUCAGUUAAUUCAGACUUGCUUCAGAUAGUCAUACCAGUUUGAAAAAAAGGCAUGGCAGGCAUGAGUGCCAAAAGGUUUGGUGCCUCAUCAAAAAGAGUAAAAGGAAUUGAUUUCAGAGAAAAGUGAGGACAUCAUGCAGAAAAAGGUUAAAAUAAAAAGGAGCAUCCUCUUGCCAUUAGCAUGCAGAGAAGAGAAUCUUGAGAUUUGAACCAGCUUUAGCGCCGAUUGGCGCUCCUUGCCAGACACGACCAGAAAAGAUGAUGCAUGGUUAAGGUCUUAAGGAGGACAAUUAUUAAACAAUGAGCGCUCAUCUGAAAGUCCUCUGAGCUUGUCUGCUCUCUCGCUCUUAUCUUUGCCGAAGAAACGAUACAUUUGUGGAUAAGCAAUCUUUCACCAAGAGCAAGAUGCUGAAUUUAUGGCCGCGAUGGUUUUCCAGGGAGCAGCAUGCUGAUUAGGAAUUUUUUUAGCGAAGCAUGCUGAUUAGGUUAGCAGGGGCCGGGGGGGAUGAGUAAGACGGGAUCGGGUGUUUAAUAGUGGGCUCCAGUAGUUAGCUGUCCUGUGUGGACCGAUCAUAUUGACCGGGUCCAUUGACCACGGGUUUGAAUGUAGUUGGGCCGGCCCUAAAUACUACGCCAGGUUUCCAGGCAUACCGGACAGUCAAGGCCAGUUUGCAGGUGGGCCUAAUUCACGGAGGGUAACUUUAGCUCACAACCCCGUCAAAAAAAAAACUUUAGCUCACCAGUCACAACCAGUUGAUUCUACAAAAACCUCACACGCUGCUUCCUGAACAAAAAAUGAGGGACCGGCUCCGGGAGAGCCGGGAAUAUUUACUCGCACUGUCGUGCGACACAUGACACCCUUAUUUGAAGAGCCUCUUAAGAUUUUUUCUAUUGAAACUACACUAAUAUUCGAUCUUAUCGUUAAAUCAUGAAUAGUUUCAUUGUUGGUUUUCUUUUGACAAGAUCGUUAAGCCUAGUUCUUAUAUUAGAAGUGAUUAUUAGAAAUCGAUUGGGUCUUCCCUGGCCGAUUCGAUGAUGUUCUAAGGAUUUUAGGCAGGGCCAAACAAUAAUAUGGAACAAGGUAACUUCACUGCCUAAUACUCUAGCGCUCCCCGAUCUGCAGUCUAUCCUAUCUUUAUUCCGUAUCCCAUGCUGUCCCAUUAAAUCUCUUCUUAUGUCCCAUGAUGUUUCAAUUGUUUCAUGUGUUGAAUUCGUGUCAGAUAGAAAUCUGUAUUUCAGAAAGGGCCCUGCCGAAGCAGAACACAUUUUUUAUUUAUUUAUCGCUGUAUCACCACCACAGCCUUUCACCAUCCCGUAAAUCCCAUGACCAACCAGCUCCCCAAACUUUUAUUUUUCUUCAAACGGAACAGCUCUUCCAUCGAAGUCACUUGGCGCUAGCUAUAUAUGGAUCCAGUCCUUGCAUUCACGCACACAUGCCGCCGUGUCGUCACCAGCAGCUGCUGUAUCUGCAAAUCAAACGGCAAUGCAGAACUCAGAAUCAAUCCUCUGAUAAUAACAAAAGAAGUAACAAAGGAUCAACCGGAGCAAAUGCAGCGCAAGAACAUCAUACGACGCAAGAAAAUCUGUAUCCGUCAGCGCCCGGCGCGCGACGGCUCAUCGAAGCCGCAGACGGAGAUGACAAAGCAGGCCACCUUGCGCUCGGCGUUCUCGUCAUCAUCACCGUAGCGCCCUCCGUGGCGACGGCCACGGCUGCUGAAGGCGGUGGUGGGGCUGCAGUCGUCAGCACACUUCAUUAAGCACGCAAAACUCCCGUGGGCGAGGUGGCACUGCCUCAGGGAUGCAAAUGGGAUCCCACGAAAAGCCCGCUUCUAAUUCAUUUUCAAAUCUCUGUUCAAAAUUUUGCUCAAAAUUUAAAUAGGAGAUUGAAAAAUUGAACUAGAAGUGGGCCUUUCGCGGGAUCCUGUUUGCACCCCUACACUAUGUGUAGCACACUUGACGUGGACGGGUCCCGACGUGGAAGCAGGGGCAGAUGAUUGACUUGGAUGGGUCCGGACGUGGCGGCGGCCGCCUGCUGCCGCUGACUGGAUGGCAACGACAGCAGGACGACCACGCACAUGGCAGCAAUGGCGGUCGCUCUUGUCUUCGCCUCCAUCUUCGAUCCUUCCUCAGGGCAACUGCUGUGGUGUGGACUUUGUGCUUGUGUUUGGGUGGCUUAUAUAGCACCGGAGCACCGAGGGCGCAGCGUCGGCAUUUCACCUAUACCUGGGCAUGGGUGGCCUGGCCUGGCCCGAAGCCCGACAUCCCGGGCCGGGCUCGGGCCUCAAUUUCCAGUCCCAAGCCCGGUCCGAAAUGACCAAAAACGGGUAUUUUUUUAUGAAAAAUAGGUAUAAAAAUCAUUUAUUUAUUCCGAAAAUAAUUAUUUUAAUGCUUACAUGGCAUAUUUUCGGGGUUUCGGGCCGGGCCUGGGCUUCAAGUUUGAACGUCCGGCUUUUAUGAAGCCCGGCCCGAACCCGGCCCGGCUCGAGGUUUGCCCAGGUAUAAUUUCACCUGUGUAAUUCUCAAUGUACAAAAGCCUAGUGUUUUCCAAUGAGGUGGAUGAUCGAUUGAGUCGAGUGUGCUGCAUCCAGGGACGGAGCCAGAAAAUCAUCACUAGGGGGUGGGGGGGAGAAAAAUCAAAGCCGCAAAAAAGAACUGCUCCAUCCGAUCCAUAAUAAAUGUAUUGAAUUUAGUACAAAGUUGAUGAUUCGGAAGGAGUAUAUAGUUUUGAUAUCCAAUAUAUAUAGAUAGAAUAGCAAGUAGAGUCAGAUCUAAAUAAUAAAAAUAUAACUACAAUUGAAGAACCAAAUAAAUUUUAUAAUCUGAACAUAGUUCGGCAGUUUGUUUGUUAUAAUCAAUUUUCUAAUCUGAACACAAUCAAUUGAAGAACCAAAUCAAUAUAGAAGAUGAAGUAGAUUAACUUGUCCACCUGCCGUGGUGCUGCCUGCUUGAUUAAUCAGCAGCUUCCGAUUUUGAUCUGGAAGAGAAUUGGGAGCGCCGCUGGUUUGGGACGUUUGAUCUGGAAGAAAAUUGGGAGCGUCGCUGGCUGGGGACGAUAGCUGCAGCAAAGAGACAACGCGAGCGCAUCGAGGUUGGGCUUCUUCUCUUUGCUGGGCCAUUAGGCACAAAUAUGCAGUCCCACAUGGGCGGGGGGCAAAAUCAUAGGUCCAACUAGGAGGAGGGUGGGGCUGCAUCCAAUUUUGCUAUAUGUGUUCUUUUCUGAACUAAUGGUAGGUACUACUGGGAAAAUAGCUCUUGUAGACCUCAAACUGUUUUGGGAAGUGCAUGUGGUGGCUCAUCUUUAUUUGCUUAGGCAAGCCUUUGCUUGCUUUGUGAAUCUGCCUGCGCUGAUAGAGAAAGACAAUAGAAUGCAGUUUUCAUAUGCAAUGCUACUUGUAUGGGCUGGCUGGCAAUUGUCUGUUUUUAAUCACCUCUGUUUAGCUGUACAGAUGCAAGGAAAGAAAUCAUAGUUCAUUGACAUGCCAGUAAGGAGAUACUUCCAGACUUCUAGAAGCAAUUUCAUUGAUUUUUUUUUACCAGCAACAAGAUCGUAUUAACAAUCGUCUUCAUUUUCUAUCCUCUUAUUCUUUCAUCAAUGUCAUGAAAGAUGGAACCGAUUUCUGUUUUGCAUGAUGUGGCAAUCUCCUCAAAGAAAUGGCUGAUAGGAAUUAUUGCAGGUACUUGUAGCCUCUACGGACACAAAAGUAUUACGUCACGCACUAUGCUACUCUCUCUGAUUCUAAAUUCUUGACUCAAAUUUGUCCAAACAUGGAUGUAUCUAUUCUUAAAAAACGUCUAGAUACAUGUAAUAUUUCGACAAUAAUUUAGAAUCGGAGGGAGUACGUUAGAACAAAAUAAAAUUUUCUAUCAGGCAUCGGCAAGAUCAAUGUUGAAGUUAAUAGAUCACGGAAUUACCGGUAGACGUGUAAAACCGUAGCAAAAAUAGAGUUGAUUUAGCGAGCUGAUGCCGAGUAGACGAACUACUAGCUUCUCCUUGUGAAUCUUCGUACGGUUCGUCCAAGCGAGUCCAAGGUUGAAACAAUUAUGAAAGAGUCAUAAAUCUUCCCACGUAAACAAGCUAAGGUUGUGUUUGUUGGAUAAUAUAUUAUUAGUACACUAUGGUAUAAUGUGUUCAAAAUUAUUGUCAUGCAUAUACAUUGUUUGAUGGAGUGAAAAAAUGAUCAUAUGUAGCAAAAUAAACACACACACACACUCUUAAACGACUAAUUUACAUUUAAAACAGUACAGUCAGCACUAAUACAAAACUACAGAACUACGUGGUCAUUCAUGUCAUUUCAGCAUAUUUUAGCUGCAGUCAGACCAGUCGCACAAACAAACAACUCCAAUCUUUCAGCUGCAGCUGGCAGACAAACACAACCUAAAAGGUUCGACAAUGAUGGUAGAAAGCUGCAAGGAAGCCAAUGGGGCCUUAUGUAAUGUUAGCAAGUACACUACAUUUUUCUUUUUUGCCAGGGAAGUAUACUACAAUCAAAUUGAAGUGAAAGCACUAAGUUGCACCUGUCAUGUGCACCAAAUUUCUUCCCGUUGCAAUUCCAAACAACUUCAUUUGGUCUUGCGUCUUUCUUUGCCUUGCUUUAGCUGCCAACUAGUAAGAACCUUAUCACCUUCCAUUUCUCACAUGUGUUCCUGCCUUUGGAUUGAAGAAUGCCAUCCAACCUACAAGGAUCUGCCUCCUGUAUUGAUCUGUCUUUGCAUGAUUGAUUUAUAACCGCUACAGGGAAGCAACUUCACAGGGAUUCAGAAUAGACCUUAAUUGUUGUUACAUAGCACGAUUUACUAUAUCACUGGUUGACUAAUUGUGUAGUAAUCUGUGCAUGUAGUUGUACAUGAGGCUAUUUGCAGUCAUUGUCCAUUGCCUCAAACGUUAGAAUGGAACAUGCACCAAAAAUUUUAGCACCAAAUUUACAUAUUGUACACCAAAGACAAGGAUAAUGCAAAUACAACGCCAAAUGAUCAGAUACAUAUAUGCAUUCUUUGUACUAUGGUUUCCUUAGCAUGGCCAAAUCAGUGCCACCUCGGGCUCUUGGCACUGAUCAUCAUUUGCUACUUUUCUUUACAUCGGAACUAUGUAACAGAGGAAUAACAUAGAACCACAACCUAAGCAAUGCACUAGAACAUGAUAAGGUAAGGGUGCAUAUUUAUGAUCUCAUACUAACAUCAAGCAUAACACUUCUUAUAUUUCUCAGAAGCUCUUGUAAGGGCCUAAGCUGCCAUGCCAUCUCAUUUGCUGCAUGCAGUGCUAAAACUCGGGUUUGGCAGCAGCAUUCUGCCCCAGUCCAAGCCAUGGCUGGCUCUCAGGCUCCUUCUUUACAGGUGGUUCAUCUGAUGGAGAAGAGGCAUAUGGUGCCUUUGCAUGAAGGCUAUAAAAACAGAAAAGAAAGUUAGAUCCAGAAAAUGCAGUGGUGACUAAACCAUACCAUACAAUGUGACAGAGAGAGCAAAUUACCGAUCAUUCCUCUUCUCAAGGAACCGGUGAAGUGAUGCCUUCCUAGCAAUAGGCAGAUCUAGCAGGCCAAAAAUAGUUUAAUGAAUAAUUGACAUCAUAGGAUUCAACAAAUCGUAUGUUAAACAUCACAAUAGACAUGAACAACAAAGUCAGGUAACUACCGGCAGCGUUAGGAUGAGCGGGCUUGUGAGCAUCAGUCUGAGCACCAGGCAAGCUACUUGCUGGGGCCGGCACAACUGUUUCAACCUUCUUGUUGUCGGUAACAGGUGCGGGCACGGGUUGUUCUGAACGACAGGGUUGCCCUUGCUAGCCAGCUAAAUCAAGUUCUUUGCCAUGUCAGCUGGGAAGUCGUUGAACACGAGCACCUUUCCACCAUAGAAGAUGCUCAGCUCACGCUUCUCUUGCUCCCUCUAAUUUAUUUGCACACAACUCUUGAGUACACUUGGGAAGAACACCACUCCAAUUUACCGUCAGUUGCCUUCUGAGUGUCAAGCACAAAUAUUCUUUCAGAAACGGUUCAUGUACUAUCAACAUCGGUACAAAUCAACUCUUUCUAUUAACAAGGAUCCAGUUUAAGGUCCAUAGACUCUGAAGUCUGAGCAACCUAGUGUUACAAGUCUGAGCAUGCAUGACUGAUUAGAUCAUUCCAACAAAAUAGACAGCAGGUUCUUGUAAUUGCAAAGAUUCAGUUUUAACUGCUCUUUCAAUUAUAGUUCAUGCCAAUACAAAAUCUUCUUCCAACAUUUAGUACUGAUUCAGUCAUUCAGCUAAACUAACACAAGAUAGGAAGGCUUCUGAACUCAACGUUUGGCUUUUAUUUCUAUGAUUCUCACAAGCUUAGUAUGAGCCUAAAAUAAACAUCGAGUAGAGGAAAGUGGCGUGUGUGGUCCAAUACCUAGCAACAGCAUCAGGGGUAGACGCAUCCUGCACACUGCCCAAGCCGGCGCUCUGCGGGAAGAGCUCCAUGGUCUCCUUCUUCAUCCCUGGCUCUUCGCCCUCCGCUCCGAGCAAAGAGCUCUUCGUCCUCUGCGCGUCUGCGUCACCUGAAACCAAAUAAAACCGCGCACAUAUGAGAUCAGAGAACUGGACCGCCCGCUCUGAAAUUCCAGACCAAAUCGACGUGAAGCCAAUUGGAACACGAACCCGCCCAAACCUCCCCCAACCAACGGAAAAAGGCGACCAGCUCUAAUCGACAGCAUCACAGCAAUCCCAGACCACGUGCUCACCUUUGCUGAACCCGAGGCUAAGCUCGGCCGCGGCGCCGCCGUUCUGGCGGACGUAGAGGCUGAGCAGGCUGCAGGCCACGGCGAAGCUGCUGGGCUUCUCCCCGGGCCUCGUGGAAGCCGCUGCCAUCUCCUCUCCUCCGCUCCACAACAAACAACCUCCUGCUCAGGCGCCUGAAGAACCAGCCAAGCUCGUGGCGCGGUCCUUGGCCGGAGCAGCGGUGGUUGGUUUGCCUCUUCUCCCCGUGUGCCUUCACUGCCUUGGCCGUGUGCGUGUGCGGAGGACGCGGUUUCAGGUUCAGGGUACGAAAUGAACCAGAAUGAAAAUGAGUGAUUAAAAUAAGGCGCGGGCCGGGCCAGGCCAGGCGGCCAUGAUUGUUGUUGAAGAAUUCCGCACGUGGUAGAUGUGGUGGGGCUUUCGAGCGAGAGUUAUUUUCCUUACUUUUUUUUAGGGACGUUGCGUCCGCCGGGCGCUCUCUCUCCCGUGUGCGCGUGUUCAUGCGGCGUCGUGCCAUCGUGUCCUCGGUCGGCAUGGACAGCAGCCGUGCAACCGUGGAGUGCAGAAGAGGGAAAUGGGAACCGCGGUGCUCGUGGUGUUGAACUGCUGGAGCAGAAAGCUGUGUUUUUUUAACGGAAAACGCUGGGUUUUUUUUUUCUUACAAGAGCAGGUUGCAGACAGAGUUUGUGGAGUAUUUUUUUUUCUGUUUUUUAACGUGUGUAUAUGUAUUAACAACGGUUUUGUUAUAUCCAAGUUGCAACUUAGAUAUAGUCACCCUAUUAAGAAUCGUUCUAAAUCAAAUACUUCAAAUGAUGCUGGUUUGGUGUCAAAAAAUAUAUUUGAUAAUACUCCAAACGGAGUAUUAUGUUAGAAAAGUGAUGUUUUAUAUAUUUGUAAAAUUUCAAGUCCAAACUUAAUUUCGUUUGGUAGCAGCGAAAUGUUCCGACAUUUUGCCGAUGUUGCAAAAUAGCAAUGCAUACUUGAGAAUGUUCUAUAAUACUGUAGAGAAUAUAUAAGAGAAGAUAUCUGCAGUGAGCUUUAUAGAUUGAAUGAAAGUUCUGUCAUUGGAAAAUUCUAGACAUUUACCAUGACAAACACUAGCAAUUUCUUCAUGGUACACUAGUAAAAAUCUAGAAGUAAGAUAUUUGUGUAGAGUACUCUAGAGUAAAGAUAUUUAUAGUCGUAGAAUUUGGAUGGUUGCCACUUGACAAUAAUGCAACGGUGUUGUAAUACUAUAAUGAUUAUAUCUAAGUCGCUUGACUUUCGUUUAGAAAUAAGUCGAUUUCUCAGACAUUGGAUACGGCUUGUGCUUCGAAAUUCGAAUGAAUUAUGGAAAAAAGACGAGUGAUAUGACAUCCAUAUACUACACGGCUCUGAUACGUCGACUGAUGUUAAAAAUCAUACGCAUAAGACAUAGCCACACACAUGCUAUAAAUAUAGGUGCUCUUCUAACCUCGUUAGUGCACUGCCACACUACGAGAAAAGAAAUGAGCUAUCAUUAUUAAGAGAUUAUAUACUAACACAACUAGGUAUUGAUAACUAACUAAUGAUAGGUAUGUAUCCAAAUGAGAUGUAAUCCCAACGACGCCUCUCCAAUACGAACCCCCUCACUCCAGCAGCCAUACCCUCCAAAACCCCAGUGAUCACAAUUAGUAUUCUUCACCUUCCAAUACUUCUUCUCGGUCUUCUUUUGUUUAUGCAAUACCGAGGCUUCGACUUACUUUAAUCGGCAUGCAAAAUAUCAGUUAUAUAAACCAUAUACACUGCUUACGAGUGUUGAUCUCACUAAUGAGGCUUUUGCAAAAAAUAUGAUUACUAAUGUAUUUAUGGAAUUUGUCCAAACUUUUCUAAUUUCUCAAGUGGAUCACCAAAAUCUGGAUUUCUCCGUUGCUGAAAAUCUUUAUUAGCGAGAUAGAAGGAAACAAAAUAUACACAAAGGUUUCAUGAUCUGCUUUUCAUAAUCUUUAGUACCAUGGCAUGAGAGUAAACAUAAAAUAACAAAUUCACAUGUACACUUGCAUGACAUAAUAACAAGAAUAAAACAUGAGAUGGUAAAGUUGCAUUAUGUAACGAAAAACAUUAUUAAAAGUGAGACUUCAUAUUAUACUAUGUGCACGAAGCGUAAAAAUCGACUGGCAACUAUUAUUUCUUAUUGCUUAAUUUCAACGAUUAACAUUUCUAAUUGCUUCAUUUCAGCACAUUUGCAUUGUCACAUGAUUCAUGUACCGAUUGCUUCUUAUUUCAGCACGUUUGGCAUUGUCACAUGAUUCCCGUGCUGUUUCGAAUUGAUUGUCAUUCAGGUUACUUGGUUAGUUAUUUUGGAUUGGAUUAUUUCAUUAAUGCUUACAUGUGACAAAAGAAAAUGCUGAAGUAGUUGUUUUUAACUGAAAGAGAAAUUAUAUUGUUCACAAAAAUAAUCGACGAUUUAGACUUUCACACACGACCUUUGAAACUCGGCUUGGAUAAUUGAUUUUGAUCAUAGUUAGCGCAACUCCAACCACACAACUCAUUGGGGACGGACCGGCGGGACGACCCAUUUCGGUCCGCCGCAACCCUUUUUCCACCCAAAUUUGGUCCAGGUUUGGGUCAGAACGAACAACACGUUCAGAUCUGUCCGGAUCGCGACCCAAACAAUCAAAACAAAUGCUUUUGACCACGGAUUUGAGUCGCAUGGCUGGAGUUUGCGCUGAACUUAAGGAAGUACUUUUCAAGUAAAAUCGGCCAUCACAACUCGACUAAAAUAAACGGCUGAUUCGACCGCAUUUCGGCUGCAGCCUCAGAGGCCCAAAGCUGCACUUCUGCUGCAGCCCAUGGAUGUACGACCUGAGUAACCAAGAAGCACAGUCAGCCCAGGAACCUAACAGCCCCAUAGCGUUUCGGAGUCCCGUAGUGUUUCGGGGCGAAACCGCCGCCGCCGCCGCGCAGCCGCCGCUCCGUCCUGUUCUUCCUCGCCGGUACCGCCUGUCUACCUUCCUCCUCUCCCCCCCGUGCUUCUCUGCAGGGCCACGGGCGCCGCCGUCUACCCAUUCCGUGCUUACCCAGCCACCAGUCCGCCAUAACCAUCCCGUGCCUCCUCGCCGCCGGCGCCUCCCCUUCCCGCCGGCGACGUAACUCUUCAGCUCGGGAGGUUCAGCAGCAGCCUCUUCGUUGAGUUUUACAAAUAAAUUUGACAAGGAGUGGUUUCCCCCGUCGAUCUCAUCCGUUCUCUCUCCGCGUGAGCUUCAGCGGCGACAACACUGGGCUGCUGCGGCGAGCACAGCGAGUGAGUGCCACGGAGGCAACAGAGGAUGAUGGGCUCUGCAUUUGACGGGCUCUGAAUUUUCGAAAUCUCUAGAUUGCCCCAGCCAAACCCCUAAACCCUGUCUUUACUCUCCCCACGGCGGCGCUCCCGAAUCUUUCGACGGCAGCGCGACCCUCCGCGUCUUGCGUCUCCACCACUCAACCCAUACGGCCACACGUCCUCUUCUUCCUGUGACCUACUCAAGCUCCAUUCCGCCGCCGCAGCUGCUCCCUCUGUCCCUGCAAGGCUGGACCCGUCCCGCAACAUUGGACAUUGGUUUUCCAGGCACUCCGUAAUCUCUGUGAGCUUUUACUCAUCUCCCUCUAAACCCAAACUAAACUAAGCUCCACAAACUUUGGGUGCGUACACACAUCUAGAUCCUCCUGAAUUUCAGUACAUGUUAUAUAAUUCCCUUUCUGCCUAAAUUUUAUUAUUUGUGCUCUCAGCAGUCAGCAUUAAUCUGGCCUAGUUUGUCAUGUCAUGUUCUGUCAGGAGUAAUGGUGGAUAUAUUCCAAAUCCUGCUCUGCUGAAAAGAACUGUGCACCACUUAAUUCUGCGCAAAGCCGCAAAUAACAUUCUUGCGACGUUUACAUGAUUUAUGUUCUCACUCAGUGCCUUGGUGCUCUAUAAAACUCUUUAAAAGGUGGCUAAAUCUGCCCUUCUUUUCAUGCCUCGAAUACUUGUGCUUGUUAGUGCUAGAUGUAUUCCUUGGUUGGGUGUUUUUAGUUAGUACAAUGAUUUCUGCCCAACCUAAAUUCUAGUCCUGAAUUUACAUUGUAGGGAUUUUUAUGGGAACAGAAAGCCUGGAGGCUUGGAAUUAGGGAUAACAAUCACAGUGAUAUCUUUGUUUCUUGCAGGAAAUUUUUAUAUGACUUGUACAAUUAUUUCUGGGGUGGCUCUCUGCGCCAACUAAUCAAGGAAGUAUGCUCCAUGAAGUGCAAUUUUUGUGUACGUUUUUCCUUCUUCGACUGGUGCUGUCAAUGUAAGGAGGGGACAUUAGAGCCCUACUUCUGCGCCAACUAAUCAACGAAGUAUGCUCCAUAAAGUGCAAUUUUUGCGUACGUUUUUCCUUCGACUGGUGCUGUCAAUGUAAGGAGGGGAGAUUAGAGCCCUUCUUCUAUGCGACGUGCAGUGCUAGGGUUCCUGCAUCAAGACCUUGUAAAAAUAAACCACCCUCCAGCAUCGCGCCUUUACUCUCUGGCUUGUUGUUUGAAGAUCUCAGAUCAUCAAGAAACCACGGGAAGCUCUGUUUGCAGUGAGUAUAGAAGUCAGUGUCUUCUUCUCCUGAUCACGCAAGCAGUUCGGACAUCAAACGGGGACAAGGCCAAAAAGAUAAGCUUUGGGAAGUGUGCCAGGUUAUAUGGGCUAUCUCGGACAAUUGGGCUGUUUGCAUUGCUUAUACGAUCCUUCUUGCCACGGAGAAUCAGAGAGAUUUGGUGCUUGAUUCGGAGCAUUGUUGAUUACUGUGGAAGUGCCGGCCCGGAGUUGUUUGAGUUGGCACCUAUGUUGGUCAGCAAUUUGGGUGGCUCAAUGACAUUGCUACAAGUUCAUGCUACAGCCAUACGGAUUUUUCUAGAGUUGUCGAUGUUUGAGGAUGCUCUCCUCACUUACACUGAAGCCAAGAAAGUUGGAGUGGAGCUGCAGCUGUGCAACUUCCUGCUGAAGUUUUAGUUGAGAGGAAUCAAAUCAUGUAUGCGAGGAGUUUGUUUGAUGAUAUGAAGAGUUCUGGUCCGUCACCAAAUGUGUACUCUUAUUCGGUUUUGAUGAGUGUGUAUACCCAUGGGGAUAGGUUAUACUUGGCAGAAGCUUUUGAGCUUCUUUCUGAAAUGGAAAUGGAAGGUGUGAAGCCGAAUGCUGCAACCUAUGGCACUUACCUCUAUGGGCUAAGCCGUACCAGACAGGUGGCAUCUGCAUGGAACUUUCUUCAAAUGCUUUGUCAGAGAGGCUACCCUUGCAACACUUACUGUUUUAAUGCAGUGAUUCAGGGUUUCUGUAGUGAAGGUCAGGUUCAGGAAGCCAUAGAAGUGUUUGAUGCGAUGAAGAAGCGUGGGUUUGUCCCAGAUACUCAUAGCUACAGCAUAUUAGUUGAUGGGUUAUGUAAGCAAGGGGAUGUAUUGACAGGCUAUGACCUGCUUGUUGAAAUGGCAAGAAAUGGAAUAGUGCCUACUCUGGUCAGUUACAGUUCACUUUUGCAUGGUCUUUGCAGAGCUGGAAAGGUUGAAUUGGCACUUGAGAUUUUUAGGAGGCUUGAAGGACAAGGUUUGAAGCAUGACCACAUAGUUUACAGCAUUGUUCUUCAUGGCUGUUGCCAACAUUUGGAUAUAGAGGUUGUCUGUGACCUUUGGAACGAAAUGGUUCAUCAUAAUUUUGUUCCAGAUGCGUACAACUAUACUAGUCUGAUAUAUGCAUUCUGCAGAUGUAGAAAUCUGAAAGAAGCACUGGGAGUAUUCGAACUCAUGCUUGACAGUGGAGUAAGCCCCAACAUUGUGACAUGCAUCAUUCUAAUUGACGGCUUCUGCAAAGAAAGGAUGAUUGGUGAAGCCUUCUUAUUCCUUGAUAAAGUACGUCAGUUUGGAAUUGUCCCAAACCUUUGUACCUACAGAGUUAUCAUCAAUGGUUUGUGCAAGGUCAACAAAUCUGAUGACAUGUGGUGAGUUUUUGCAGACUUGAUUAAAAGGGGCUAUGUUCCUGAUACUGUCCUUUACAGUAUUAUCAUUGAUGGUUUUGUGAAAGCUUUGAAACUACAUGAGGCUUUCAAGUUGUAUCAUAAAAUGUCGGAUGAGGGUACAAAACCCAAUAUCUUUACAUAUACUAGCCUCAUAAAUGGUUUGUGCCAUGAUGAUAGGCUCCCAGAAGUUGUGACAUUGUUUAAACAUAUGAUCGGGGAGGGACUGACACCAGAUCGUAUUCUGUAUACAUCUAUUAUUGCGUGCUAUUGUAAGCGUCCAAACAUGAAGGCAGCUUUGGAAUUUUUUAGAGAGAUGGGAAAAAACGGCUUAUCAGCAGAUGCUUUCGUCUAUACUUGUUUAAUUGGUGGCUUCAGUAAAUUGCUUGCGAUGGAUGGUGCACAGUGGUUGAUGGAAGAAAUGAUAAAUAAGGGGCUUACACCUACUGUUGUAACUUAUACAGAUCUCAUAAUUGGGUACUUCAAAAUCAGAGACGAGAGAAAAGCUAAUAUGAUGUACACCAGUAUGCUUCAGGCAGGCAUUAUACCGGAUGCCAAGCUCAGUUGUAUAUUGGGUUUAGGCGAUGAUGCGGAUGGUUUUGGGGAUUCUCGGAAAGAGAAGGAUGUAUUGUAGUGGCUCUAUUAACUUGCUACUGUUCCUUGAAUUUUCCUGUUUUAUAGUCAAAUGGGGCAAGCAUACCUGCGUGAAAUGAUGACGAGAGAAUAGCUUAGUGUUCAGCGAGCAGCUCUCAGAGCGUGUAGUCUUGUACAAGUGAGACUGGAAUUGCAAGCACCUUAUUUACCAAAGUGGCCUAAAGAUCCAAGUAUUCAUACUAUCCCUGUAUUCCUUGAGUUUUCCUGUUUGAUAGUCAACAGGGGCAAGCAUUUCAAUGAGCUGUAAGCAGAUCAGCAGUGAUUGGUGAGAUCUGGCAUGCAGCAUGCUAUUGGAGACUCAGGAUAAGAUCUAGACUGGUCAAUUGGGAGCAUUUAGGUAACCUCAGAGAUGUAUAUGAUUUCGGCAGGUUUGCUUCUGUUCUAUUGUUCACUUUUUUGAAGCCUUAUUUACACCCAAAUUCUAUUUUUAGUGUUCUACUCCUAGACAACUUAGUUCCAUGCUACUCUACAAAAGGAACCUCCCAGAAUGGUAUUACACCUUGCUGCAGGGAAAUGUUCUGUACAUGUAGGCUACUGUGUUACAGAAAAUAGAUUAGUUUCAUACAUCUCACUGGGUAUCCUAUCUUUGUUGUGUAAUAAAAUCGGAGUAUAUUGAGCAUGAUACUCACCUUUGGACCCUCUUCUACUCAUAAUGAUUUUUUCAUUUCUUUUCCCUUUAAAAAAUGUAGGCAAAUUCUGUUCAUUAAGUCAGUAAAUUGAGUAAAACAUAGUCUGAAAACGACAAGUAGAAAUUAGAAAGAUAUAAAGAAUGGCAUGCAUUUGUUAUUUUUAUUUAUUUUCACAUUCUUCCAGUGCAUGUUGCCAUGUAUUCCAACUUUAGUCCUUGUCUAGCAAUCAAAACCUUGCAUUUUAUGUUUCUAUCUCUUCUGGUUUGUUUGGCGUAUACAAGUAUACAACAUUUGCAGUUUCUGACGAAAACUAUUUAAUUGCAUGUAUUCGUGUCUGUUGAUAUUUCAUCCGUCUUCAGCAGAAAUCAGCAUAUCAAUGAUGCUCUUGAUCUUCAGAGUACUGUUCAAUAUAGGUAGCAGAUUUUGCUCAGAUUUUUCAGUGACAACUGGUUCAAACCUAUUUCAUUUUUUUGUUUUGCGGGGAAAACCUAUUUCAAUUUGGGCUGUACUUAAAACAGUUCUAACAUUCCAGGUGCAGGCUCUACUUAUAGCAGUGCAGAGACUAGGCAGAGUAACUUGUACGUUGCAUCAUGUCCCCCUUUUCCUUUAGUUUCACACUUGUAUCAUCUUGCUCUGAUAAAUUUAAUAUUCUUAUUGCUUUGGUCUAUGUCAAUGUUAGUUUUCAUUAGCACAAUAGUCAUGCGUUGCUAUGCCUUAUAAAAUAACACGUUCUAAAAGAAUGUUGUACUAUUUAUUAUCUGUAUUAUCUUAGAUCAUGCAAUCCAUAUUUGUUUUCAUCUCAAUGAUUUGUGUCAAAUCAACAAGUGAUAAAAAAAUCAAGUAGCACUCCCAAAAAAUGAUGGACCACCACCACUGAUUAAGUCUUUUAUAGGAGUAAAGGUAUGGUGCAUCGACACUGAUUUUGGCACCAAAUUUGGAAGUAGUACAAAUAUUGUGUAAACAAAUAAUUUAAGCGGCUAAAUUUCUUAUGAUGGAACUUUGUUUAUGAGUUAUACGCUUCAAGGUUUCACAUUAUAUUAUUACCUCCUGAGGCUUGGAAUUUACCAUAUUCUGAUUCUUCAAUUUAUUGAAAACCAACCGGCACCAUCCAGGCAUGAGGGCAUGCCUCUGGCGGUCCACCGGACGAGCAUCGACUCAGGUUGGGUGACCAAACCACAAGCAUGUUUGCCAAGCUUGUCUAGUAAGUUUUCUUGACUGUGAAUUGUGCAUAUUAUGUGCUCGUCAUUUUGGUUUUAUUCUCUCAAGUUGGCAUAUAUAUCUUGAUGUGUUUUUAGAUGGUUCAGUUUGUCAAGUGUUACACGAAGAUAAAUAUGUGUCUCUAGGGAAGUUUUAAGUUUUUAACUUCCAUACCGAGUAGAUGCUAGGCCUAGACGAGGGGGAGAUUGAUAUUCUCAUUCCUUUGAAGGUGUGCUUAAGCAGUGCUAUUCUGCUUGAGAACAUAAAUCAACUUUUAUUAUAAACAAAAACAUGGUUGCGAUAGACUUAAAUGCUAAUCUACCUGUGUCAUGGCACCCUUUUCACAUUAUUGUUGUUUGUGGGAUCAAAUAAAUAUUUAAUCUUAUCGCGGCUAAUGCAAACAUUAUAUUUUGUCCAGUGUUAACUAUGCUGAUUAACUAUUCUCUAUGGCAGUGUGCUGAUUGACAGGGACCAUUGAAUGUUGCCUUUUGUACCUAAACACAAGGCCAUGCAUUUGACCAUUUUUGCAUGCGGUCCCUUGAUUAUACUGAUUGAGUAUUUGCAAAAAAAGAAAAUCACACUGAUUGUCUGAUUGUAUUUCUUUUAAUUUGUUCUAUCGGGGCAACCAGGGAAAGACAGGAAGCAAGAAGCAUCGUGGGUGGCGAGAGCAAGAGAAUGAAACGAGUGGAUCUUUAUACAGAUGGAAACCGAUUGUAAAUUUGGAGCACCCACAUAGGGCACACAAGAGGAGGGACAGUGAGAAAUGAAGGCAUGGAGCUCGAUGGCUGGUGGAGCAUCAGCAAGUAGAAGGCAUAUGAGACCAAGACCUUCUUGUUGCGAUCUCAGACGAGUGGAGGAACUGGAAACUUGCCAAGCUGUUUAGCAGUAGUUCUUAUUCGUUCUUCUUUUACAGUAGAGACAGAGGGGACAUGUGGAGAGAUGAGGGGUAAACGCUAAUGUAAAAUACUUUGCUGCUCUCAUGCAGUUUCUUUCUAUAAAAGAAGAUAUUCUAGAAAAAAAA
rnacentral:lncRNA from 1 species